UCAGGCUGAAAAACAUGUGACCAGAACUCGGAAGUACCGGGAACUUCAGAGCAGCGUUGCAAGCGAACGGCUGGACCAAAUCAUGCGAUUGGGGGCUCUAUCAAAAGGAGGCAACUGAUGUCGGCACCACAUCGCCACUUUCUCAGGAUGGAAUCCCUGGGCAAUGGACCACAGCUUAAAUAGGUUAUCUGACCUUGGUGCCAGUCCAUACAUUAGUAGACAUACAAAGACUCACUGAGAAGAAACAGACGGUAACGUUUAACCAGCAAACAUCUUCAUUGCUCCAUAGCAGACUGCAGUUAAUGAAGACUACCAUGAACCCAAAUUUAGGACAAGAUAGAAUUCAGAAUAUUUGCUGUAAAGCCCAUUGUCUAUCGACUCAUUUUGUUGC